rnacentral:lncRNA from 1 species
UUGCAAUGUUGAAUUGAUAACCUUUGAAAAUAUGUGUAUUGAAAUGAAAGAUAAGUUUAUAGGGUCUAUCUCGUUUUGAGGACUCUAAAACAAUAUCACUGUAACCAUUAGGAUGUGAUAUACUACUUGUAAUGAUACUAAUACGGGAACAGUGAAACUUCCAAACCAAAUAUUUGUAUCUAUGAAAGUAUUUAGUAAACUUUGUAAGUAAUAUUUGGUACCAUAAUGAAAUCUCUGACUUAAUAUGAUUUACCAGCUUUACACAGAUACGGGUCAUUUCAUG